AGAGAAUAGAUACCCGGGUAGUCCCAGCUGUAAACGAUGCAGACUCGGUGAUGAAUUGGCUUAUUGCUAAAUUCAGUGCCGCAGGGAAGCCGUUAAGUUUGCCGCCUGGGGAGUACGGUCGCAAGACUGAAACUUAAAGGAAUUGGCGGGGAGCACCACAAGGGGUGAAGCCUGCGGUUCAAUUGGAGUCAACGCCGGAAAUCUUACCGGGGGCGACAGCAGAGUGAAGGUCAAGCUGAAGACUUUACCAGACAAGCUGAGAGGAGGUGCAUGGCCGUCGCCAGCUCGUGCCGUGAGGUGUCCUGUUAAGUCAGGUAACGAGCGAGAUCCCUGCCUCUAGUUGCUACCAUUAUUCUCAGGAGUAGUGGAGCUAAUUAGAGGGACCGCCGUCGCUGAGACGGAGGAAGGUGGGGGCUACGGCAGGUCAGUAUGCCCCGAAACCCUCGGGCCACACGCGGGCUGCAAUGGUAAGGACAAUGAGUUUCGAUUCCGAAGGGAGGAGGCAAUCUCUAAACCUUACCACAGUUAUGAUUGAGGG
rnacentral:rRNA from 1 species